rnacentral:rRNA from 2 species
UACGUAGGGUGCGAGCGUUAAUCGGAAUUACUGGGCGUAAAGCGUGCGCAGGCGGUUAUUUAAGACAGGUGUGAAAUCCCCGGGCUUAACCUGGGAAUUGCGCUUGUGACUGGAUAGCUAGAGUGCGGCAGAGGGGGGUGGAAUUCCACGUGUAGCAGUGAAAUGCGUAGAGAUGUGGAGGAACACCGAUGGCGAAGGCAGCCCCCUGGGCCAGCACUGACGCUCAUGCACGAAAGCGUGGGGAGCAAACAGG